ACUUCCAGGGAGCAAGGCAAGAAGCAGCCCUACACCCAUCACUGCUGUGGACACCUGCUCUUCUGGAGCCUUCUGUGUGCCAUGCCCCUGCCUCAGAGAGAGGGCAGAGUCUGUGAGCACAGGGGAAACACUCCCCUUUCCCAGCUGCUGCUCAGGUGCCUGGUCACCAUGCUCUGGAGGAAAUGUCCUGUAGGCCCCAGGGGCGCAAUGGCAUCAUCUGUGGUCAAGCUGUGUCCCCGAUCCCCAGCAAGUUCCUACCAUCUCUCAUUUUCAUGAAUUGUGCACAGAUCUGUUGGUCUGAUCAUCAGCGAGUGGAUACUCCUUGCUGAUUGGUGGCUCAUGCACCUUUCACUUCUUCGGCGACAUCCUGACUUCCUGUUGGGAGUGACCUCUUAGACAUUGUGUGCUGUCCAGGUGAAAAUGUCCCUCCUAACCAGAGCUUGCCCCUGCUCUCCAGGACCUGGGCGGAGGGGAUCAGUGGGGCGCACACUCCUGCGGGCUCCUGAAUGGGCUCCUGGAGCAGCUCCUGCAUGUGGCCCACUACUGUCCUUUCCUAACCCCCUUCCCUUCAGUUCCUGUUGCCUGCAGCCACAAGCUCUUCAGCCAGCUGCCCCUGAGUCUGCACCAAUGAGCCAUGGGGCCUGGACAAUGAAUCCCAGCUGCCUGAGCCUUGAGUCUUAUGCCUGGGUGGGAUAAACUCGCCCCUCACCAAGCCCCCAUUCUGUGCCAAGCACCAUAUUAAAUCAUGUUAAAUAUGAUGAUGUGGAAGAAGAGCUAUCACAUGCAGUGGUUUUAAUUCACCCCUGUGCUGACCAGGGGGUCUUCCCUCAUAGUUCCGGAGCCUUUGCUUCGAGAUAAUUAAAAUACAAGCUCAAUGCCUCCAGAGCUGAGGGUGCAUAUUGACUCUGGGUCCAUGUAAUAAGACACAGCCAUUGAGAGUGGCUGAGCAUCUUCACUUGAUUCACCUUAUCUGAUGUAGGGUUUUCAGUUGGGACUGUUCAAAAAAAUAAAGAUAUCCUAAGUGAA